CAGUUUUCUCACCAUCACACACUGCUAUUUCAAACUCCGCUGCCGCUUUCACUUUCGGAGUUUUAGGGCGGGAGCCGGUGACGGAAGAAAUGGAAGACCCGGUUCCUUCUUCAUCAGCCCCACCACCCAACCUCACCACCAUUCACAGUUCUCAAUCUCUCUCCCUCUCUCUACUUCCGCCUCACAUUCUUGUUUCAAUUUUCUCAAUCAAUUAAUGCUUUCCCUCUUUCCAAAAUUUGAAGACGAGUGCUUGAGUUCGAAGAGAUUCUCGAGCGAUGCCGCCGAGAUGAUGAUUCCGAAUCACCUACUGCAGAUUCUCAGGAUUUACUUAACGACUGCGCUGUGUUUCUCCGGAGUAGUGUUGAAAAGAUAGUAACUGAUUGCUCUGAUGUUGGUCUGUUGGGGGAUCAAGAUUUUGAAGCAUAUAUGGGACGUUUUGAGCUGGAGCUUAGCUCCGUGGAGGCCGAGAGCGCUAAGGUUUCCGAUGAAAUUGAGGGUCUUGUUCGAACCCAUGAGGAAGUAAUUCUUCAUUGCAGUGGUUUAACAAAAGUGCAGGACAGAAUUGUCAAGCACACCAAACAACCAGCAGAACAACAAACCCAGACCAUCUUCUAGUUCUAAAGAAAGAACAAGCAAGCAAUAAUUAGCCGAUGGAGAGAGUAGUUGACCAUCACAUGACAGCACAACUAGUGCCUGAUCUGCCUUCAAGGGCAUCCUUCAAGAGUAGUUGACCAUCACAUGACAGCAAUAAUUAGCCGAUGGAGAGAGUAGUUGACCAUCAAGGGCAUCCUUCAAGACUUCGGCAGAUGAAAGGCUUCUUUGAGAAUGCAAAAAAGAAAAAACAAUAUUCAUAAACUAGUAGGAGAACUAACAAAGUUUUCGAUUAUUGAGGAAGAGCAAGAAAUGGUGAAUUCGUACCUGAAAAUCAACUUAUCCAUUAGUCAGCGCUUCCACUGGUAUUAGGUUCAACUCCAUGGGUGAUCUAUUUAAAUCUUUAUGUUGGACCAGGUUCCCCAUCAUGAUCAAAGUGUAAAACACCUCGCUUGGUACUAAUGCCUCCUGAUAAUACUGAUGAUGAUGUAGAUACAGUGGCAGCUUCUGCUUCAGUGUAGGCCUCAUCAUAUGGCCCUUGGGCCCAAAGCCCGCCCGGCCCGGCCCUUCCAUUAGGGCGGGCUGG